ensembl:lncRNA
UGGAUAAACAUCCUCCUGUCUGGAACAUUACUGAAUUGUACCAAACUAUAUAAAAACCUAAUUCUAAAAGUCCAACCUUUAAAAAGGAGCUUCUCUCUUAAGAAGACUAAAUGUUUUGCAAGCGUAACUGCUUUCAUUUUCAACUCACCGAUGUUCAAGUUUAUUCAGUAAACUCUUGGAACAGAUACAAAAAUGAGCCAGAGCUUAGUGAGUGGUCUCACUGGUUGCCCUAACCUCUUUUGUAAAAUUUACUUCUAGAAAAAAGCUGAGCACCAGCAGGGCUCAGGGAAGCUGAAGUGGAUUUGUAUGAUGGAGAGGAUUCUGAGAGUGACAUUUUCAGUAAGAGGGCUCUAAGGACAUGACCCCUACUGGGUGGAUCCUCAGAACUUGGAAGUCACAAGUGAUUUCAUGCUACAGGGAGAUGGAUCCAAAUAAUAUUGCUACGAGACAUGGGUGCCCUGAAGGAGUGAGGGAUGUGACUCCCUUGGCAAGGAUCCUUCAGACGAAAGGGAGUAUGGUGGACUUUCUCCACGUGGAAGCAGGCUCAGAGAUGGACUGUGAAGCCUCCAAGAAGGAUCCCAGGUGUGAAGAAUGA